UUUAACCCUUUUUUAUCAAGUUUCAACAGUCAAGUCAAAUUUUGAGGGGAAACUUUGGGAACCGAACAAUGUAACGUCCGGUUGAAGUAAACCGGACACUGUAACCGAAAAUUAUCCACAUGGGUUUGGUUUAAUUUUCCCAUAAGGUCCAGAUUCAUCCGCCUUCUUCGGGAUCCACUUCAUCUGAACAGAGUAUAUUUUUCUCAUCUUUAAGAUGUCAAAAAAUAUAAAAAUGAACAAUUUUUUUUGUUUCUCAUGACCAGACUUUUUUUAGUUUCCCCUAUUUACAACUUAAAAAAAAAAGAAAAACCAGACUGUGAGUGGUUUUCUUAAACAAAAUAAUUACGAUGUUUAAAAUUAAAACUUCACACAGUGACACAACUAUAAAAUAGGUAAGAAUUAUUUUUCUAUAAAACUUAGCGGAAAACAUAUUUCAGCAAGCUAGAAUUAUGUUUGGAACUCGUAAAGAAGUUUUAACUAUGUCAAAGGACACAAAAUAAUCAUACUAUAUAGUAUAUAGUACUGCUAAACAUUCUACAUCAAAUAAAAUAAAAUUAUCUAGUACACAGCUUUCUAAAACACAACCAUCAACGCGUUAUAUUCUGAUACAAAUACACAUUUAUACUACUAAAUUUCCAAAUUGUAUUGUUUUAUUCAGAUGUAUACAAUACUUUAUUUAUUUACCAAUUGCCGACAAAAACUAUAAGAUCUUUUAUUAAUUAAAAACAGAAAACCCAAUCUUAAAAUUUCAGAAAUACUUUAGUUUCGAUACGCGUAAAGAGCUUUAGAGCUACUUUUUGUUGUCAUUACGCAUUAAGUUAAUAAAAUAUGAAUCUGAUGGUACCAAAUUUAUAAAUAUAAAUUACCUGGCGAUGAAUCAUCUCUGUGAAUUUCUCCAGCUCAUCAUUCUGCAGAGAAUCUAACGUUACAUCUUUUUUUUUUUUUUUUUUUAAUACAAAUCACAAUUUAUUUUUCUUUUUUUUAAUAAAAAAAAUCAAUAACAUAUCUGAUUACUAAUUAUUAAUAAGAAAGUUAUGUUUACGAUUAAUAAAGGAUUAGUUUCGAAUUAUCAAUAUAUAAAUCCGUCCAACUAACCUAUCCCGUCGUUAUCGAACCAUGGAGACCCCACUCCCUUCUUUAUCGCAGCUAACCCCAAAUCCUACUCCCGCCGCCGCCGUCUC
rnacentral:lncRNA from 1 species